rnacentral:rRNA from 1 species
AUUGAACGCUGGCGGCAUGCCUUACACAUGCAAGUCGAACGGCAGCACGGGUGCUUGCACCUGGUGGCGAGUGGCGAACGGGUGAGUAAUACAUCGGAACGUACCUUAUCGUGGGGGAUAACGCAGCGAAAGCUGUGCUAAUACCGCAUACGCCCUGAGGGGGAAAGCGGGGGAUCGAAAGACCUCGCGAGAUUAGAGUGGCCGAUGCCGAAUUAGCUUGUUGGUGGGGUAAAAGCCCACCAAGGCGACGAUCAGUAGCUGGUCGAGAGAGGACGAUCAGCCACACUGGGACUGAGACACGGCCCAGACUCCUACGGGAGGCAGCAGUGGGGAAUUUUGGACAAUGGGGGCAACCCUGAUCCAGCAAUGCCGCGUGAGUGAAGAAGGCCUUCGGGUUGUAAAGCUCUUUUGUCAGGGAAGAAACACCGGCUCUAACACAGUCCGGGAAUGACGGUACCUGAAGAAUAAGCACCGGCUAACUACGUGCCAGCCGCCGCAGUAA